rnacentral:lncRNA from 10 species
ACAGUCUUCUUGCAUAUCUGGGCUCAGUCUCUGUACUCUCACUGCAAGCCUGAGAGGAAUGCAUUGAGAGGAUGGCAUGAGGAAGCACUUUUUCCUAUGUGAGGUCUUGAGAUUUUUCAUGCCAAAUGAUGUGGGAUCUGGAAAGAUGGGCGAAUAGGAAUAGCUCUGGUCUACAGCUCCCAGCAAAACCAACACAGAAGUUACUGCUGAAAGCAUCCUGAGUGACACAAACUUGAAGCAUGCAAGAGGACUAAAUAACUUCCAAAGUCACACAUAUUGCAUGUCAAGAGCCAGCUUCAAACUCAAGUCCCUGUGACCAGAGGUCGAUGCUCUAAACACAUUUCUGCAUGACCUGCUUGUGGCAGCCUGGAGAAAUUCUACAUAAAUCUUCUCAGAUUCCAGAGGCUGCGAGGUCUGAGAUCAAGGAUCUGACACCUGGUGAGGGCCUUUUUGCUGCAUCAUUUCACAUAGAGACAAAAAGAUUCUCACCUGUAAGCUUGAAUUAUGUCUACAUCAUGCUUGGGAAAUGUCCAUAUAUUCUAAGCUUGAAACUGCAGUGAUGAGGACGUCACCACUUCCAGAGAGAACACUUUACUACCAGGCAACUUGAGUACAAUAGGCAGCCACAAAUAUCAUCCUUGCUAGCCAGGAAUGACAAGGAGCAAGCCACAUGAGGAGUCAGAAAAGAUUAUUCCAGGCAGGGCUGAGAUCUGCAUUAUGGUCUGGAGGCUGCCCCAGUCUCUCCUUUACCUCCAUAUUUUUCUCACAGACGCGCGUGAUAUUUGGUGCCGUGACUCGGAUCGGGGGACCUACCUUGGAGAUCAAUCCCUUGUCCUCCUGCUCUUUGCUCCAUGAGAAAGAUCCACCUAUGACCUUGGGUCCUCAGACCAACCAGCCCAAGGAACAUCUCACCAAUUUUAAAUUGG